rnacentral:rRNA from 1 species
CAAAUGACUCUCGGCAACGGAUAUCUCGGCUCAUGCAUCGAUGAAGAACGUAGCAAAAUGCGAUACUUGGUGUGAAUUGCAGAAUCCCGUGAACCAUCGAGUUUUUGAACGCAAGUUGCGCCCGAAGCCUUUUGGCUGAGGGCACGUCUGCCUGGGCGUCACAC